rnacentral:piRNA from 1 species
UAAUAUCGUAAAAAGUUGUGU